rnacentral:rRNA from 1 species
CCACCCUUUAAUGUUUGAUGUUCUAACGUGGACCCGUAAUCCGGGUUGCGGACAGUGUCUGGUGGGUAGUUUGACUGGGGCGGUCUCCUCCUAAAGAGUAACGGAGGAGCACGAAGGUUGGCUAAUCCUGGUCGGACAUCAGGAGGUUAGUGCAAUGGCAUAAGCCAGCUUGACUGCGAGCGUGACGGCGCGAGCAGGUGCGAAAGCAGGUCAUAGUGAUCCGGUGGUUCUGAAUGGAAGGGCCAUCGCUCAACGGAUAAAAGGUACUCCGGGGAUAACAGGCUGAUACCGCCCAAGAGUUCAUAUCGACGGCGGUGUUUGGCACCUCGAUGUCGGCUCAUCACAUCCUGGGGCUGAAGUAGGUCCCAAGGGUAUGGCUGUUCGCCAUUUAAAGUGGUACGCGAGCUGGGUUUAGAACGUCGUGAGACAGUUCGGUCCCUAUCUGCCGUGGGCGCUGGAGAACUGAGGGGGGCUGCUCCUAGUACGAGAGGACCGGAGUGGACGCAUCACUGGUGUUCGGGUUGUCAUGCCAAUGGCACUGCCCGGUAGCUAAAUGCGGAAGAGAUAAGUGCUGAAAGCAUCUAAGCACGAAACUUGCCCCGAGAUGAGUUCUCCCUGAGACUUAGAGUCUCCUGAAGGAACGUUGAAGACGACGACGUUGAUAGGCCGGGUGUGUAAGCGCAGCGAUGCGUUGAGCUAACCGGUACUAAUGAACCGUGAGGCUUAACCUUAC